AACGAACGCUGGCGGCAUGCCUAACACAUGCAAGUCGAACGAGACCUUCGGGUCUAGUGGCGCACGUGUGGGUAAGGCGUGGGAACCUGCCCUUAGGUUCGGAAUAACUCCCCUAAAGGGGUGCUAAGACCGGAUAAUGUCUUCCGACCAAAGAUUUAUCGCCUUUGAAUGGGGCCGCUUUGGAUUCGCCGGUUGGUAGUGUAACAGCCGACCAAGGCCACGAUCCAUAGCUGGGCGGGGAGGAUGCCAAGCCACACUGGAACUGAGAGCCGGCCGAGACUCGUAGGCGAGGGAGCAGUGGUGAACACGCGACAAUGGGCCAAAGCCUGACACAGCCAGGCCGCGUGAGUGACCAAGCCCGUCGGGUAGUAAAGCGGUAGGUGCCGAGGUGAUAGUGACAGUAACGGGAGAAGAAGCUCCGGCUAACUCCGUG
rnacentral:rRNA from 1 species